rnacentral:lncRNA from 1 species
AAUAAGGGACCUAUCAUCUGACACUUGAGAGUACAUAUAUGAACAUUCACCUUUUGAACCCCUAGACCUUUCUGGCCCAAAAGAGUACCUUCCUUCUGACUUUUGAUUAUUUCCUCCAGGCCAUGGUCUAAGGGACUAUUGAGAAAUUAUCCUCUUCCUGAACCAACUUCAUCCACCAUUGCAUGCAUCUCACAAAUGAGGCAUUUGUCAGAGACCCCUUGGAGAGUGAUAAUAUUUAAUAAAUUUGGUCCUUGAAGCAAGAGGUCGAAGGCCAAAAUGUAGAUUUCAAAGAAAACCUUAAGAAUUGAAGUAAUACAAAAACUUAAUGAGCUGCCUCAGGAAAUGAGAGAUCAUCAAGCAAGAGUCAAAGGAUGAUCUUAGGAAUAGUUAAUCAUUCAUAGAAAUUCCCUAAUCUUCAGCAAUCUAUUUUAUGUUCCUUCUAAUACCAUCAAGUAUUACCAUAUAAAGCAUCAGAGAAACCUAAAUGAGUUCUUAUUGAAGGAAAGAAUGAAUAAAGGAUCAUGAUGACAAGUAUAACUUCACCAGUCUCCUUUGUCACAGAAAAGUUUCUUAUGGGGAGUUAUGGAAAAGGAGGAGUUGGAGCUACUGCAAAGAGGAGCUGCUGCAAAGAGCAAGGUUCCAGAAUUCUGGGGUUGUGAGAGCUUGGCUUUUGACUGGAAACAGUUGAAGACAAGGGUGAUAAGUGAGUCUAGCUCCUUCGGUGGACCUCGUGAGUUGGACUAGUCUCCCUCUCUUGUGACUGCAUGCCUUAUCCAAUGGCUGGUCCCUGUGUCCCUUUGAGUGUAUCUUGUGGCUGAUAGAGAGUGAUUUCCAACAGAGCUGCUCAAGACAUCCAAGUGCCAACUGUCAGUGAGAACUCUUUCCUCUUGGCCUGGUCCUGCGACCGUCAAUUCCUUACCAUCUUUAAAUAUCAACUAAGGGGGAUAUUUAUUUUAAGAUACUUUAAUGGAAACAGUGUAUCAAUAAAGGGCAGUUAAUAUUUCCA